rnacentral:hammerhead_ribozyme from 1 species
ACUGACUGACGAGUCUCAAACAGGACGAAAUGCGCAUCCCGGCU